rnacentral:rRNA from 1 species
AAAGGAAAACUCGGCAGGAACCAGCUACUAGAUAGUUCGAUUAGUCUUUCGCCCCUAUGCCCAAAUUUGACGAUCGAUUUGCACGUCAGAACCGCUGCGAGCUCCACCAGAGUUUCCUCUGGCUUCACCCUAUUCAAGCAUAGUUCACCAUCUUUCGGGUCCCAACAGCUAUGCUCUUACUCAAAUCCAUCCGAAGACAUCAGGAUCGGUCGAUGGUGCACCCCGAAAGGUUCCCACCUCCGUUCACUUUCAUUACGCGCUCGGGCUUGACACCCAAACACUCGCAUAGAUGUUAGACUCCUUGGUCCGUGUUUCAAGACGGGCCGCUUACAGCCAUUACGCCAGCAUCCUAGCAGAUGCGCGGACCUCAGUCCAGGCUGGUUGCAUGUCGUCUCCCCUAUAAGUUCUCCCCGAAGAGAGGUACAUGACAGAGACCUUUAUCCAACCGCCCAAACUGAUGCUGGCCUGCCUAUAGAAGAGUGCACCGGGUAAAAACCCGGAUGAGCAACUACAGGCAAGUCUGGCUGCAAGCGCUUCCCUUUCAACAAUUUCACGUGCUUUUUAACUCUCUUUCCAAAGUGCUUUUCAUCUUUCGAUCACUCUACUUGUGCGCUAUCGGUCUCUGGCCAGUAUUUAGCUUUAGAAGAAAUUUACCUCCCAUUUAGAGCUGCAUUCCCAAACAACUCGACUCGUCGAAGGGGCUUUACACGGUAAAGGCUAGCGACCACGUACGGGAUUCUCACCCUCUGUGACGUCCUGUUCCAAGGAACUUGGACCGCUGCCAAUGCCAAAGCGCCCUCUGCAAAUUACAACUCGGACGCCAAAGACGCCAGAUUUCAAAUUUGAGCUGUUGCCGCUUCACUCGCCGUUACUAGGGCAAUCCCUGUUGGUUUCUUUUCCUCCGCUUAUUGAUAUGCUUAGUCCCCCCGGGUAC